rnacentral:rRNA from 1 species
AACGAACGCUGGCGGCAGGCUUAACACAUGCAAGUCGAACGCAUCCUUCGGGGUGAGUGGCAGACGGGUGAGUAACGCGUGGGAACGUGCCCUUCAGUUCGGGAUAACCCAGGGAAACUUGGGCUAAUACCGGAUACGUGCGAGAGCAGAAAGAUUUAUCGCUGAAGGAUCGGCCCGCGUCUGAUUAGCUAGUUGGUGGGGUAAUGGCCCACCAAGGCGACGAUCAGUAGCUGGUCUGAGAGGAUGAUCAGCCACAUUGGGACUGAGACACGGCCCGACGUCCUACGGAAGGCAGCAGUGGGGAAUAUUGGACAAGGGGCGCAAGCCUGAUCCAGCCAUGCCGCGUGAGUGAUGAAGGCCUUAGGGUUGUAAAGCUCUUUCGUCCGGGACGAUAAUGACGGUACCGGAAGAAGAAGCCCCGGCUAACUUCGUGCCAGCCGCCGCGGUAA